rnacentral:rRNA from 1 species
AACGAACGCUGGCGGCAGGCCUAACACAUGCAAGUCGAACGCUCAGCAAUGGGCGUGGCAGACGGGUGAGUAACGCGUGGGAACGUACCCUUCGGUUCGGAAUAACUCAGGGAAACUUGGGACAAUACCGGAUGCGUCCGUAAGGAGAAAGAUUUAUCGCCGAAGGAUCGGCCCGCGUUGGAUUAGCUAGUUGGCGGGGUAAUGGCCCACCAAGGCGACGAUCCAUAGCUGGUCUGAGAGGAUGAUCAGCCACACUGGGACUGAGACACGGCCCAGACUCCUACGGGAGGCAGCAGUGGGGAAUAUUGGACAAUGGGCGCAAGCCUGAUCCAGCCAUGCCGCGUGAGUGAUGAAGGCCCUAGAGUUGUAAAGCUCUUUCAGCGGGGAAGAUAAUGACGGUACCCGCAGAAGAAGCCCCGGCUAACUUCGUGCCAGCCGCCGCGGUAACAC